ACGGAAGGCAGCAGUGAGGAAUAUUGGUCAAUGGUCGGAAGACUGAACCAGCCAAGUCGCGUGCAGGAAGACGGUCCUAUGGAUUGUAAACUGCUUUUGUACGGGAAUAAAGUGGGGGACGUGUCCCCUUUGGAAUGUACCGUAAGAAUAAGGGUCGGCUAACUCCGUGCCAGCAGCCGCGGUAAUACGGAGGACCCGAGCGUUAUCCGGAUUUAUUGGGUUUAAAGGGUGCGCAGGCGGAGGAUUAAGUCAGCGGUGAAAUUCUCAUGCUCAACAUGAGAACUGCCAUUGAUACUGGUCCCCUUGAGAGAUGUCGAGGAUGGCGGAAUGUGAUGUGUAGCGGUGAAAUGCUUAGAUAUGUCACAGAACACCGAUUGCGAAGGCAGCUGUCCGGAGAUCAUCUGACGCUCAGGCACGAUAGCAUUGGUAUCAAACAGGAUUAGAUACCCUGGUA
rnacentral:rRNA from 1 species